ACGCGACUUUGAGCAGAGGUUAUCUGCACAGCUGUACCCAGAAUACCAUCAACUCGUUUGACCCUUUUCAGUGAUUUUUUUGGUUACCCUUUAACAAACAGCACCCCUUUUAAUUUACCACUUUUUUAGGGUACAAAAUAUGGGGUGUUUUACCCUUCGACACGUUGAAACUAUCACCAUCUCAUCAAACAUAACUAGGAAGUUAAAAAUUACACAACACUUUACACAUCAGUAUAUAAUUGCACCAAAUCAUGCAAACAUGGAUUUAAAUCAGAUGUUCUACGAUGAAGAAUUACAACUCAAUAAUUAAAACUAUUAUAGAUAUUGUUUUAGUAAUCAGAAAGGGUUGGUAUGUUUCAGGGUCAGGGUCUCCCUUAAUCUCUGCUUUCAAAUCUGAAUACACCGCCAAUGAAGUUUUUUAAAGGGUUGGCACCCCUUCUAUGCCUAUCCUUUGUGCAGAAAGUUAAAAAAGGUCUUGAAUGCUUUGGUUGGCAAGAGAUGGUCUGAGUGUUCACUGCGGAGCAGAAUGUUAUCGGUUGGUCCCCACUACAGACUCCAGCCUGCGAUGGAGCUGCACAGGAGGCUUGCUGGUCUCGCAGGCAGUUUCCUCAAGCCUUCGCAUACAAGAUAUGCUCCACCCAUUUAUUUCAUCGACGCAGUGCAAAAAAGCUCAAGGGGUAGAUUUCAUUCUGCACCCCUUUGAAAUGAAGUGAGGAGAGCAAGGGUUUUUUAAAUUCAGAUUCAGAUCUGUUGUCAGUUGUUGUUUGAGUGUCAAGGAGGAAGGAGCUGGGUGUAGGCAAGCAAUGGUGUUUGAACACAGGUGAAUAGUUGCAUGAAGGAUUAUUUAAACAAAUUCAUCCAGUUUUGAUUCGGCUCGCUCGAAUUCAUCAUGGAUGAGAGCAGCGGUGAUGGCAGCGGCUUUCCGCGGGAAUAUUACGAGAUCAACACAAACACAUCGAGGAGCAAAAUCUUCGCCGGCUGCUUACCAUUACCAAGUCAAUGAGCAGCGCGCACACCGCUUUAAUGCAUCAGGAUGGCCUGCUUAUACGCGGGCGGCUUUCGACUGUAUAAACAAAAACACCAUUGGGAUCACCGAAGAUAUCAGAUUUAUUUCUCAACGAUGAUUUUUAGGUGUAUUCUGCAAGAUUGUAUUGAAAAUUUGUAGCUAAGCACUUUUAUGACUCAAGGGUGGUUGCAGGUUGGGGUGGAAUGAAGUGGAUGCUGCAUUAUUCAACAUUGAUUCCGGAUGCUGGACCUCGGGAAGAAAAUCUAGCCGGAAUGACGAAUAAAGCACGUCAAUACAAUGUCACGAUGUCGUCCAGUCAAUAAAAUAAAUACCAAAUGUGACUCACUAUCAAAACUUGAUAAGAGGACACACGAGACGAAAGAAUGGACGGAAAGAGUUGAAGUGUUUCGAGAAGCGGAGGAUGUCGCGCAGAAUGCGGCGACGAGCGGCACAUCUUUAUAAAGCAUCAUCGCGGCGUCCAUCGGCGAAAUGCAUCGAUAAUAGCGCACCGACGCGGGCACCGUGAGAACUGUUGUCCGACAUCUUCACCUGAAGCACACCGUCUAGACACUCUAAACUCUACUCUAAAUUAUUUCAAAAUAGUACACACCGCGUAACAAGAUUGAAAAAUUGAUGCGUGGAUAACGUACAAAAUUAUUAUUUUUUCUCAAUUCCAUUCUGAAAAGCGCAGCGAUUGUAUUGCAAUGUCACCGCUGCCGCAAAAGCGUUUAAUGUCAAUGACGCACAAACAAAGUGGAUUAAUGCAACGCGCAAAUUUUGCAAUGAAUACAAUACAAAUACGGCAAAUGCAGACUUUACCUACACUUCAAAUCGACUACGUGCGCUGAUUUAAUGCCUAAACUUUUCAGCGAAUUUACAUCAAACACUACAGUUUGCUUAAACAAUCGGUAUCAACUUAAUUCUUGCUUCGCAUCGGCUUUGAAUCGGUGGCAUUUUUUCUGCAUCAUUCAUUGUCAUCGGAGCGGCGACCGACGCCGCAUUGGUCAUUCGCAUAGAAUGGCAAAUAGCUGAAUCCUGAAUAACACAGCGAGCGACCACUUUUUCUGUCCACAUCCUGAAUGUCUUCGAAUGCGCGCAUUCGUGCAACGGCAAUCGCGACAUUAGUCCAGUUACGUGUGACUGUCGUGGCACAUGAUCACAAAGUAAAUGUUUUACAUAUUUGCGCAAGUUUGCGAAAGGGCAUCACGUUUAUAAAACGUUGUAAAGCUUUUACAAGUCAAUAAAUUUUCGUUUUAAUGCAUCGCAUAAAAA